rnacentral:snRNA from 11 species
AUACUUACCUGGCGUGGAGGUUAACCUUGAUCAACAAGGAGGUUCCUCCAGGGUGAGGCCCUUCCAUUGCACUUCAAAAACGUAAAGAAAAUGGCCUAUUUUGCUGACAGACCCGUUUUUGUCCUCUUUUAACGAGAAAACGGCUCGACCGAUUUUGAUGAAUUUUUUUUUUUUUUGUUUGUUAAAAUUAUCACAUUUCAUCCUG